CAGACCAUAACUGUGAGAUGAAAUGAGCCUUCUCUCCCUCCCGUUGCUUUUGGCCAUGGUGGUCAUUGCCGUAUCAGAAGGCAAGCUAACACAGGCUGAAAAGUCAGAAUCUCACUUCUACUAAGGUAGAAGAACCGAACAGUAAAUUACAGUUCAUCUGACAACAGAGGCAGAAGACAUAAAGGAAGUGGGGACAUGAAACAAAAGCCCUGGUGGAUGUGCCACGGAAAGAAGAGAUAUUUACCUGUUAGAUGGUGCCUGCCUACCCACUGGAUCCUGAGUUGUGUCCUUUCUGUCACAAG